rnacentral:rRNA from 1 species
CAGUCGCCACGGUAACACCAGCAGCCCAAGUGGUGGUCGCGAUUAUUGGGCCUAAAGCGCUCGUAGCCGGGCCGGUAAGUCCCUUGUGAAAUCGGACGGCCUAACCGUUCGGCGUGCAAGGGAUACUGUCGGUCUUGAGGCCGGGAGACGUCCGAGGUACUCCGGGGGUAGCGGUGAAAUGUUCUGAUCCUCGGGGGACCACCGGUGGCGAAGGCGUUCGACGAGAACGGGCCUGACGGUGAGGGGCGAAGGCUAGGGGAGCAAACAGGAUUAGAUACCCCGGUAGUCCCUGUCUCUUAUA